GAUGAACGCUGGCGGCGUGCCUAAUACAUGCAAGUCGAGCGAACAGACGAGGAGCUUGCUCCUUUGACGUUAGCGGCGGACGGGUGAGUAACACGUAGGGAACCUACCUAUAAGACUGGGAUAACUUCGGGAAACCGGAGCUAAUACCGGAUAAUAUUUCGAACCGCAUGGUUCGAUAGUGAAAGAUGGCUUUGCUAUCACUUAUAGAUGGACCUGCGCCGUAUUAGCUAGUUGGUAAGGUAACGGCUUACCAAGGCAACGAUACGUAGCCGACCUGAGAGGGUGAUCGGCCACACUGGAACUGAGACACGGUCCAGACUCCUACGGGAGGCAGCAGUAGGGAAUCUUCCGCAAUGGGCGAAAGCCUGACGGAGCAACGCCGCGUGAGUGAUGAAGGUCUUCGGAUCGUAAAACUCUGUUAUUAGGGAAGAACAAACGUGUAAGUAACUGUGCACGUAUUGACGGUACCUAAUCAGAAAGCCACGGCUAACUACGUG
rnacentral:rRNA from 1 species